UACGGAGGGUGCAAGCGUUAAUCGGAGUUACUGGGCGUAAAGCGCACGCAGGCGGUUUGUUAAGUCAGAUGUGAAAUCCCCGGGCUCAACCUGGGAACUGCAUUUGAAACUGGCAAGCUAGAGUCUCGUAGAGGGGGGUAGAAUUCCAGGUGUAGCGGUGAAAUGCUUAGAGAUCUGGAGGAAUCCCUGUGGCGAAGGCUGCCCCCUGGACGAAGACUGACGC
rnacentral:rRNA from 1 species